rnacentral:rRNA from 1 species
AUACGUAGGGGACGAGCGUUGUCCGGAAUGAUUGGGCGUAAAGGGCGCGUAGGCGGCCCGGUAAGUCUGGAGUGAAAGUCCUGCUUUUAAGGUGGGAAUUGCUUUGGAUACUGUCGGGCUUGAGUGCAGGAGAGGUAAGUGGAAUUCCCAGUGUAGCGGUGAAAUGCGUAGAGAUUGGGAGGAACACCAGUGGCGAAGGCGACUUACUGGACUGUAACUGACGCUGAGGCGCGAAAGUGUGGGGAGCAAACAGGAUUAGAUACCCUGGUAGUCCACACUGUAAACGAUGAAUGCUAGGUGUAGGGGGUAUCGACCCCUUCUGUGCCGCAGUUAACACAAUAAGCAUUCCGCCUGGGGAGUACGGCCGCAAGGUUGAAACUCAAAUGAAUUGGCGGGG